rnacentral:rRNA from 1 species
GACGAACGCUGGCGGCGUGCCUAAUACAUGCAAGUCGAGCGGACGGAUGGGAGCUUGCUCCCAGACUGUCAGCGGCGUUUGGGCGUGUUACACGUGGGCAACCUGCCCGUAAGACCGGGAUAACUCCGGGAAACCGGGGCUCAUACCGGAUAACUCUUUUACUCACAUGAGGGAAAGCUGAACGAUGGCAUCUCCCUAUCACUUACAGAUGGGCCCGCGGCGCAUUGGCUAGUUGGUUAGGUAACGGCUCGCCAAGGCGACGAUGCGUAGCCGACCUGGGAGGGUGAUCGGCCACACUGGGACUGAGACACGGCCCAGACUCCUACGGGAGGCAGCAGUAGGGAAUCUUGCGCAAUGGACGAAAGUCUGACGGAGCAACGCCGCGUGAGUGAUGAAGGUUUUCGGAUCGUAAAACUCUGUUGUCAGGGAAGAACAAGUACCGGAGUAACUGCCGGUACCUUGACGGUACCUGACCAGAAAGCCACGGCUAACUACGUG